AAGUAAAAGUCGUAACAAGGUCUCCGUUGGUGAACCAGCGGAGGGAUCAUUACCGAGUUUACAACUCCCAAACCCCUGUGAACAUACCAAUUGUUGCCUCGGCGGAUCAGCCCGCUCCCGGUAAAACGGGACGGCCCGCCAGAGGACCCCUAAACUCUGUUUCUAUAUGUAACUUCUGAGUAAAACCAUAAAUAAAUCAAAACUUUCAACAACGGAUCUCUUGGUUCUGGCAUCGAUGAAGAACGCAGCAAAAUGCGAUAAGUAAUGUGAAUUGCAGAAUUCAGUGAAUCAUCGAAUCUUUGAACGCACAUUGCGCCCGCCAGUAUUCUGGCGGGCAUGCCUGUUCGAGCGUCAUUUCAACCCUCAAGCCCCCGGGUUUGGUGUUGGGGAUCGGCGAGCCUCACGGCAAGCCGGCCCCGAAAUAUAGUGGCGGUCUCGCUGCAGCUUCCAUUGCGUAGUAGUAAAACCCUCGCAACUGGUACGCGGCGCGGCCAAGCCGUUAAACCCCCAACUUCUGAAUGUUGACCUCGGAUCAGGUAGGAAUACCCGCUG
rnacentral:rRNA from 1 species